GUCCACCGAACGGUCGGCAGGCGAUCCGCGUCGGUCAAGCGAGGUGGUAUGGUUCCCCAGAGGCCGGUUCUUGUGCUGCCUACCCCUUCAGGGGAAGCGGGCCACUUGAUGUAAAGCCUCCAUCCGGCGCCCUCCAACGGGCGCAGGAGGACAACGGAGCACCCCCCGCGUUCCACCGAGCCUCAGCCGGUCGCGUGGCGCGCGGGGACGUGCGAUGCUCUCGGACCCAGCGAACGCCGUGGGCGAGGACUCACGUCCCAGUCCCUAUAGAAGCUCCGAUGUAAUGCAUGACGGCCGCUCCCGACCCCCGACCGCCCCGGCGGCGCGGGGGCGAGGCGCGGCGUCUCGGAGGAAUGC
rnacentral:misc_RNA from 1 species